rfam:Ovis aries breed Texel chromosome 3, whole genome shotgun sequence.
UGGAAACGGAUUGAGGGGCCAGCCCCAGGCCCUGACAAUGAUUGGGGCA